ACUACUACUAAUACCCUCUCUACUUACAAGUUUUAUUGUUUAUGAUACUUUGUUCAUUAUAAUAUUAUAUUGUUCACUGAACUGCUGAAAGCAUUCGCACGUUGCCGCGCGUCCUGAUCAAGUCGUAUGUAUCUAAUUCUUUCAAUUAUAGUAUAUAUUUAAUUUGAUUUGAUUUUAUAUAGUUGUAAAUCAAUUAAUCGUAAACCAAAUAGGUAAGUGGUGUAAAAUCUAAAAAGUUUAUCUACUGAUGAAAAUAAAUAGAUUGUUAUAAAACUAAUAGCUGCUUUGUUGUAUUCACCAGGUAUUUAAAAUAUGCUUUGAUAUUUUUAUAGAUAAGAUGGUUUUUUGCUUUACUUGUGAUGUUAAGUUGUAUGGUGAACGGACACGUGUGAGUUCCAGUAUUUCUCCUCAUUCUAAUACACCAUACCCUGAAAAGAUUGCUGAAAUUUUGGGAGAAGAUUUUUUGAUUAUAGUAACUCCAGCUGAUCAUAUGUGCAAGAAAUGCGCAUCACUUUUGACACAUGUAGACAAGUUGGAACAAGACCUUAAAGCUGUUAAAAAUGCGAUGGUAACAUUAAUCCAAAGAAAAUAUGGAUUCAUACCGGCUGAUCAGCCGAUCAAGACUUUUGAUGUAUGUUUUUAUUAUUUCAUAUACUCAAUACUAUAAUAUGUAUAGUUAAUACUUUAUAUCCUAAGGCAGAUAAUUAGUUUGUUUAUUUUAUUGUUAUUUCCAUCCACUGUCUAGAUUGUCAAUGGAAAUUUGAAAAUUGAAGAUGUAGAACCUACUCAGCCAAAAGUAGCCAGUGGGUCGACAGUUAAGCAUACAUCUGUGAAGUCGCCAUUGAGAAUGACUAAACAACAGGAAGCUUCAAAAAUGAAAAUAUAUAAAUGCGGUUUUUGUGCAUUCCAAUCUAAAGAACUUGGCCAUGUUCGGUAUGUAUUUAGGUUAUAUUACCGGGGAUCAGAUAAAAGUUUUAAUUUAUUAAU